GGAGAGAAUGCCAAACCAGAAGAUUAACAUUUCUGUUACAUAAUUACGAGUUCAAGGAGUUCAGCCUCUUAUCACUCUACGUUCCGUGUUGUACCAACAUCGACGAUCGGAAUUAAUUACGCCCUAAACCAGAAGAAAUUGUGUUGCAAAGAACCAACAUCAGCUCGGAGACUGUAAGCCUCUCCUUGUGCUCUGAAGCAGCACGAGCAGAGGCCUGACGUCGGCUCCAGCGCUGGGGAGGGAAAGGAUCUUUGUUCAGGAAGUUACUUAUUGGACAAUUAACAUGUG
rnacentral:lncRNA from 1 species